rnacentral:rRNA from 1 species
AUACGGAGGAUCCAAGCGUUAUCCGGAUUUAUUGGGUUUAAAGGGUGCGCAGGCGGCCAUUUAAGUCAGCGGUUAAAUCGUGGGGCUCAACCCCAUUCUGCCGUUGAUACUGGGUGGCUUGAUUGCGGUCGAGGUUGGCGGAAUUCGUUGUGUAGCGGUGAAAUGCAUAGAUAUGACGAAGAACACCGAUUGCGUAGGCAGCUGACCAGAUCGCAAAUGACGCUCAUGCACGAAAGUGCGGGGAUCGAACAGGAUUAGAUACCCUGGUAGUCCGCACAGUAAACGAUGAAUACUUGUUUUCGGCGAUAUAAUGUCGGAGGCAAAGCGAAAGCGAUAAGUAUUCCACCUGGGGAGUACGCCGGCAACGGUGAAACUCAAAUGAAUUGGCGGGG